rnacentral:rRNA from 1 species
AUGCUCCCUUCAUUGAUUUCUCCAACGUCAGUAACUUUGCAAGCUCAGUGGCUCGGACUAGCUUAUCACCUGUGGAAAACAGGUAGAGAUGAGUCUCAGGAUGCACCGGUCAAGUGCAGCCUCUGUAUUGAAUGCUUCAUCUUCAAAUGCAGUUGUGUCAAGACCCAGAGCAGCAAUUUCUUCUAUUUUCUUUUGGAUCUGAGACAAAAAGAAGGAAUCCUUAAACAACAGAGCACAGACACUGGCCUUUUAAGUUUGAGAAAGAAACGUGAUGUACCUGUGAGAGAUGCAACUUCCUUGUCAUGA